rnacentral:lncRNA from 1 species
GUUCCUGCCAGAGCUUGCAUUCCCUUGGCAAUAUUUCUCACCAACUCCCUUGUGCCUCCAUGUUAUGCUAAGGCAUUAGAGAAGGAUAGCAGCUAGGCCUAAAUGUCGUUGUGACCCCAAGAGUGUACUUUGGAACCUACCUGCUUUUUGGAACCUACCUGCUUUUUGGAACCUACAUGCUUUUUGGAGGAGAUUUUAUGUAAGUGGUUGGGAAAAUCAAAGCUGAUAGGCCAUGGAGGGAAAAAAAGGCUAAGCUAUCUUAAUGAAGGGGAAGAGGAGGGAGGGAGGAGGGCAAUGGGAAGAAGGGAAGGGGGGUGGCAAGGGGGUACCAAAAGGGAAAAGAGUCAAGAGGAAGAAGAUGGAGAAAGGAUGAGAGAGAAGAUAGAGACCAAAGAAGAGAUAAAAGAAGACAGAGAAGAAAAAACAAGGAGAAAAGAAGGGACCAAUAUUUUACAUUGCCAUGAAACACCCAACCUUCAAACCUGUCAGUAUGCUCCCAUACCCUUUCCAAACGGUGUAUCUUUUUCCUACUAUUAGAAACAGAUGGGAUUUCAGAAUCACAUUCUCAGACACCUCCAUAAGUCAGAUUUACUUGGUUCCAGUUUUCAUCAGCAACCAACCUUGGCUAACCCUUGCUCAAAUGACAAAUAUGGAUCUUUCUCGCCCUCAACCUGUGACUCUUUUCAUCAACACAACCCAGCAGAUCAUCUCCAGGGAUUUCCAAUGUUUGGGGGACAUAACAGACAAGAACCUUCUUCCUCAGCUUUGCUGACCCAGAAUUUCAUGUUCCAGGUUAAAAUUAAAGUUGGUGAUCAGAAGGUCACAAGCAGUACAUGUAGAAAUACUCUUUGCAUUCGUGGCAGGCCAAGAGAAGAUGUUUUAAGUGGACUACAAUAUAGAGCAUUAAUAAAGGCCAGCUCUGAGAGAAUUCUGUGA